rnacentral:rRNA from 1 species
GACGAACGCUGGCGGCGUGCCUAAUGCAUGCAAGUCGCACGCAGGAGCUUCGGCUCCUGAGUGGCGCACGGCUGAGGAACACGUGGGAAUCUGCCCUCUAGUGGGGGAUAACGCGCCGAAAGGCGCGCUAACUCCGCAUACGGUCGCAAGACGAAAGGCGCAAGCCGCUGGAGGAUGAGCCCGCGGCCCAUCAGGUAGUUGGCGGGGUAAUGGCCCACCAAGCCGCUGACGGGUAGCUGGUCUGUGAGGACAACCAGCCAGACUGGGACUGAGACACGGCCCAGACUCCUACGGGAGGCAGCAGCAAGGAAUCUUCGGCAAUGGGCGCAAGCCUGACCGAGCAACGCCGCGUGCGGGAUGACGGCCUUCGGGUUGUAAACCGCUUUUCGGGGGGACGAUAAUGACGGUACCCCCGGAAUCAGCCCCGGCUAACUCUGUGCCAGCCGCCGCGGUAA